ACCCCGGGAGGGGAGUGAAAUAGAUCCUGAAACCGCAUACAUACAAACAGUAGGAGCCUCGUUAAGGGGUGACUGCGUACCUUUUGCAUAAUGGGUCAGCGACUUACGUUUAAUGGCGAGCUUAACCGUAUAGGGGAGGCGCAGCGAAAGCGAGUUCGAACAGAGCGUUCAGUCGUUAGGCGUAGACCCGAAACCAGAUGAUCUAUCCAUGGCCAGGUUGAAGGUGUGGUAACACACACUGGAGGACCGAACCGACUAGUGUUGCAAAAUUAGCGGAUGAGCUGUGGAUAGGGGUGAAAGGCUAAACAAAUCUGGAGAUAGCUGGUUCUCCCCGAAAACUAUUGAGGUAGUGCCUCGUGUAUGACUCCAGGGGGUAGAGCACUGUUAUGGCUAGGGGGACAUGGCGUCUUACCAAACCAUGGCAAACUCCGAAUACUUGGAAGUUUGAGCACGGGAGACAGAGCACCGGGUGCUAACGUCCGGACUCAAGAGGGAAACAACCCAGACCGCCGGCUAAGGUCCCUAAUAUUGACUAAGUGGAAAACGAAGUGGAAAGGCUAAGACAGUCAGGAAGUUGGCUUAGAAGCAGCCAUCCUUCAAAGAAAGCGUAAUAGCUCACUGAUCGAGUCUUUCUGCGCGGAAGAUGUAACGGGGCUAAGUCAAUAACCGAAGCCGCGGAUUCACACUUGUGUGUGAGUGGUAGGGGAGCGUUCUGUAAGCCUGCGAAGGUGACUCGUAAGGGUUGCUGGAGGUAUCAGAAGUGCGAAUGCUGACAUGAGUAACGUUAAAGCGGGUGAAAAGCCCGCUCGCCGUAAGCCCAAGGUUUCCUGCUCUACGUUCAUCGGAGCAGGGUGAGUCGGCCCCUAAGGUGAGGCUGAGAAGCGUAACUGAUGGGAACAAGGUUAAUAUUCCUUGACCACCGCUGAAUGCGAAGGGGGGACGGAGUAUUGAAGAUCAUCCGGGUGUUGGAUAUCCCGGUUUGCGAGCGUAGGAGGCUGACAGGCAAAUCCGUCAGCGAAUCUCCGAGGCAAAGCAUCGAGCUCUCUUUUGAGCGAAGUGAUUGGAUGUGCUUCCAGGAAAAGCCUCUAAGCUCCAGUUCAGCGGGACCGUACCGCAAACCGACACUGGUGGGCGAGCUGAAUAUGCUCAGGCGCUUGAGAGAACUCAGGAGAAGGAACUCGGCAAAUUGACACCGUAACUUCGGGAUAAGGUGUGCCUUUGUAGCGUGGAGGGAGAAACACCCCGAGCGCGAAGAGGUCUCAGAUAAUCGGUGGCUGCGACUGUUUAUUAAAAACACAGCACUCUGCAAAGACGAAAGUCGACGUAUAGGGUGUGAUGCCUGCCCGGUGCUGGAAGAUUAAUUGAUGGGGUGCAAGCUCCUGAUCGAAGUCCCAGUAAACGGCGGCCGUAACUAUAACGGUCCUAAGGUAGCGAAAUUCCUUGUCGGGCAAGUUCCGACCUGCACGAAUGGCAUAAUGAUGGCCACACUGUCUCCUCCUGAGACUCAGUGAAGUUGAAAUGUUUGUGAUGAUGCAAUCUCCCCGCGGCUAGACGGAAAGACCCCAUGAACCUUUACUGUAGCUUUGCAUUGGACUUUGAACCGAUCUGUGUAGGAUAGGUGGGAGGCAGUGAAGCUAGGACGCCAGUCUUAGCGGAGCCAACCUUGAAAUACCACCCUGAUUUGUUUGAGGUUCUAACCUAGGAGCGUAAUCCGCUUCGGGGACCGUGCAUGGUAGGCAGUUUGACUGGGGCGGUCUCCUCCUAAAGGGUAACGGAGGAGUGCGAAGGUACGCUAGGUACGGUCGGAAAUCGUGCUGAUAGUGCAAUGGCAAAAGCGUGCUUGACUGCGAGACCCACAAGUCGAGCAGAUACGAAAGUAGGUCAUAGUGAUCCGGUGGCUCUGCAUGGAAGGGCCAUCGCUCAACGGAUAAAAGGUACUCUGGGGAUAACAGGCUGAUACCGCCCAAGAGUUCAUAUCGACGGCGGUGUUUGGCACCUCGAUGUCGGCUCAUCUCAUCCUGGGGCUGUAGCCGGUCCCAAGGGUAUGGCUGUUCGCCAUUUAAAGAGGUACGUGAGCUGGGUUUAAAACGUCGUGAGACAGUUUUGUCCCUAUCUGCCGUGGGCGUUGGAAGAUUGACGGGGGCUGCUCCUAGUACGAGAGGACCGGAGUGGACUCACCUCUGGUGUACCGGUUGUCACGCCAGUGGCAUCGCCGGGUAGCUAUGUGGG
rnacentral:rRNA from 1 species